AUGUCGUCUGGAACUGUUUGUUUACUACUCACAGCUGCAACUUUUCUUCUAAAUGGACUUUGUUGUGCAGAUUCCGUCACGCAACGACCGGAUGCAAUCGCAGUGAAUGAGGGGGAUGAUGUCCUGUUAUUUUGUAAUUACACAGCUACAACAAGUAGCGAUCCUACCCUGUUCUGGUACAGGCAGCAUUCCAACGGCUUCAUGGAAUUUCUCGUAAAGAGAAGCCAAUAUAUCAGCACCGCAGACAGACUUCCAGAAGACCGGAUUUCCUCGAAGUUUGAUCAUGUGAACCGCACUAUCCAGCUGAAUGUGUUGAAAACAGAACUUACAGACUCCACAGUGUAUUACUGCGCACUGAGCCCCACAGAGACUCGGAACAUGGCUGACCCCGUACAAAAACUGUCAGACAGCAACUGCACAUGA